GACGAACCGUGCGAACGUUGUUCGGAAUCACUGGGCUUAAAGGGCGCGUAGGCGGACUGCCAAGUCCGGGGUGAAAUCUUUCGGCUCAACCGGAAAAUAGCCUCGGAGACUGGCGGUCUGGAGGGGGGUAGGGGCAGCUGGAACUUCCGGUGGAGCGGUGAAAUGCGUUGAUAUCGGAAGGAACGCCGGUGGCGAAAGCGAGCUGCUGGACCUUUUCUGACGCUGAGGCGCGAAAGCCAGGGGAGCAAACGGG
rnacentral:rRNA from 1 species